rnacentral:misc_RNA from 1 species
AACUUACCUACAACGUUGCUUCGGCGGGAACAGACGGCCCCGUAAAACGGGCCGCCCCCGCCAGAGGACCCCUAACUCUGUUUUUAUAAUGUUUUUCUGAGUAAACAAGCAAAUAAAUUAAAACUUUCAACAACGGAUCUCUUGGCUCUGGCAUCGAUGAAGAACGCAGCGAAAUGCGAUAAGUAAUGUGAAUUGCAGAAUUCAGUGAAUCAUCGAAUCUUUGAACGCACAUUGCGCCCGCCAGUAUUCUGGCGGGCAUGCCUGUUCGAGCGUCAUUACAACCCUCAGGCCUCCGGGCCUGGCGUUGGGGAUCGGCGGAGCCCCCCGUGGGCACACGCCGUCCCCCAAAUACAGUGGCGGUCCCGCCGCAGCUUCCAUUGCGUAGUAGCUAACACCUCGCAACUGGAGAGCGGCGCGGCCACGCCGUAAAACACCGAACUUCUGAA